rnacentral:rRNA from 1 species
UUGCCUCAGUAACGGCGAGUGAAGCGGCAACAGCUCAAAUUUGAAAUCUGGCUCCUUCGGGGCCCGAGUUGUAAUUUGUAGAGGAUGUUUCGGGCACGACCACGAUCUAAGUCCCCUGGAACGGGGCGUCAUAGAGGGUGAGAAUCCCGUCUGGGAUCGCCGGUCACGUCCAUGUGAAACUCCUUCGACGAGUCGAGUUGUUUGGGAAUGCAGCUCUAAAUGGGAGGUAAAUUUCUUCUAAAGCUAAAUAUUGGCCAGAGACCGAUAGCGCACAAGUAGAGUGAUCGAAAGAUGAAAAGCACUUUGAAAAGAGAGUUAAACAGCAUGUGAAAUUGUUGAAAGGGAAGCGCUUGCAACCAGACUCACCCGUGGGGUUCACCCGGCGUUUUCGCCGGGGCACUUCCCCACGGUUGGGCCAGCAUCGGUUUGGGCGGUCGGUCAAAGGCCCCUGGAAUGUAGUCUCCCCUCGGGGAUACCUUAUAGCCAGGGGUGCAAUGCGGCCUGCCCGGACCGAGGAACGCGCUUCGGCUCGGAUGCUGGCGUAAUGGUUGUAAGCGACCCGUCUUGAAACACGGACCAAGGAGUCUAACAUCUAUGCGAGUGUUUGGGUGUCAAACCCCAGCGCGUAAUGAAAGUGAACGGAGGUGGGAUCCCCUCGGGGCGCACCAUCGACCGAUCCAGAUGUCUUCGGAUGGAUUUGAGUAAGAGCAUAGCUGUUGGGACCCGAAAGAUGGUGAACUUUGCGUGGAUAGGGUGAAGCCAGAGGAAACUCUGGUGGAGGCUCGCAGCGGUUCUGACGUGCAAAUCGAUCGUCAAAUCUGCGCAAAGGGGCGAAAGACUAAUCGAACUAUUAUCGGUGAGAGCCGUGGAGCUCGCUACUAGGUAGUUAAUAGGGGGCUGAAAAGGCCACUCUAGUCCCUCUCUCCGGGGCGACAAUGUCAAAUUGCGGGGACGACUUAAAGACGCUGCUACCAAACGUGUGCCGAAAGGCAGGCGUGGCCGGGGUAAUGACCUAGGGUAUGGUAACAACGCAGCGUAUGAUCCCUCCGGGGUGAAAUAGUCAAUCCGCAGCCAAGUCCUACGGGCGUCACGCCUAUGGAUGCAGUUCACAGACUAAAUGGCAUUGGGUUCGAGACCGACUCCUCCGGGGGUCGGCUCGGGCUUCAGAUAUAGUCGGACUACCUAGAGAUAGGUCCGGCAGGAUGAAGUGGCUCCCCCGCGAGAGACGUCCUUCGGGGCGUGCGGGGGGUCACCCGAGCCUGCUGGGGGCCC